CGGAGGGUGCAAGCGUUAUCCGGAUUCACUGGGUUUAAAGGGUGCGUAGGUGGGUUGGUAAGUCAGUGGUGAAAUCUCCGAGCUUAACUUGGAAACUGCCAUUGAUACUAUCAGUCUUGAAUAUUGUGGAGGUUAGCGGAAUAUGUCAUGUAGCGGUGAAAUGCUUAGAUAUGACAUAGAACACCAAUUGCGAAGGCAGCUGGCUACACAUAUAUUGACACUGAGGCACGAAAGCGUGGGGAUCAAACAGGAUUAGAUGCCCUGGUAGUCCACGCCCUAAACUAUGGAUACUCGACAUACGCGAUACACAGUGUGUGUCUGAGCGAAAGCAUUAAGUAUCCCACCUGGGAAGUACGACCGCAAGGUUG
rnacentral:rRNA from 1 species